UUACUUACCUGGCAGGGAGACACUAUGAUCAUGAAGGUGGUUCACCCAGGGUGAGGCUCAGCCAUUGCACUCCGGUUGUACUGACCCCUGCGAAUUCCCCAAAUGUGGGAAUUUUGACUGCAUAAUUUCUGGUAGUAGGGAACUGCGUUCACGCUCUCAG